UACAGAGGUCUCAAGCGUUGUUCGGAUUCAUUGGGCGUAAAGGGUGCGUAGGCGGCGCGGUAAGUCGGGUGUGAAAUCUUGGAGCUUAACUCCGAAACUGCAUUCGAUACUGCCGUGCUUGAGGACUGGAGAGGAGACUGGAAUUUACGGUGUAGCGGUGAAAUGCGUAGAUAUCGUAAGGAAGACCAGUGGCGAAGGCGGGUCUCUGGACAGUUCCUGACACUGAGGCACGAAAGCUAGGGGAGCAAACAGG
rnacentral:rRNA from 1 species